rnacentral:rRNA from 1 species
GAGUUUGAUUCUGGCUCAGAUUGAACGCUGGGGCAUGCUUUACACAUGCAAGUCGAACGGGUGUAGCAAUACACUAGUGGCGAACGGGUGGUAAUGCAUCGGAACGUACCGUGUAGUGGGGGAUAACCCGGCGAGAGUCGGAUUAAUACGCAUGAGAUCUACGGAUGAAAGCAGGGGCUCGCAAGACCUUGCGCUAUAUGAGCGGCCGUGUCGGAUUAGCUAGUUGGUGAGGUAAAGGCUCACCAAGGCGACGAUCCGUAGCGGGUCGAGAGGAUGAUCCGCCACACUGGGGCUGAGACACGGCCCAGACUCCUACGGGAGGCAGCGUGGGGAAUUUUGGACAAUGGGCGCAAGCCUGAUCCAGCCAUGCCGCGUGAGUGAAGAAGCCUUCGGGUUGUAAAGCUCUUUUGUCCGGGAGCAAACCUUUGUACCUAAUACGUGCAGGCUGAGAGUACCGGAAGAAUAAGCACCGGCUAACUACGUGCCAGCAGCCGCGGUAAU